rnacentral:rRNA from 1 species
UACGUAGGGUGCAAGCGUUGUCCGGAAUUAUUGGGCGUAAAGAGCUCGUAGGCGGUCUGUCGCGUCUGCUGUGAAAACUCAGGGCUUAACCCUGAGCUUGCAGUGGGUACGGGCAGACUAGAGUGCGGUAGGGGAGACUGGAAUUCCUGGUGUAGCGGUGAAAUGCGCAGAUAUCAGGAGGAACACCGGUGGCGAAGGCGGGUCUCUGGGCCGAUACUGACGGCUGGAGGAGCGAAAGCGUGGGAGCGAACAGG